AGACGGAGGGUGCAAGCGUUAAUCGGAAUUACUGGGCGUAAAGCGCUCGUAGGCGGCUUGUUAAGUCGGAUGUGAAAGCCCUGGGCUCAACCUGGGAACUGCAUUCGAUACUGGCAGGCUAGAGUAUAGUAGAGGCAAGUGGAAUUCCGGGUGUAGCGGUGAAAUGCGUAGAUAUCCGGAGGAACAUCAGUGGCGAAGGCGACUUGCUGGACUAAUACUGACGCUGAGGAGCGAAAGCGUGGGGAGCAAACGGGAUUAGAUACCCCAGUAGUCC
rnacentral:rRNA from 1 species